CAAAGAAAGAAAGAGACAGAAAGUGAGAGAGAGAGACAGAGACAGAGAGAGAGAGAGAGACAGAGAGCGAGAUAGAGCACUUGGCCUGAAGCCAGGUUCCUCGGUGCACCAAUGUAAAGAAAACGCCUGUGUGCGUAUGGCGAGCGUGGGGGAAAUUGGAUUUCAUGCCGUGAACGUGGCGUCCAUUGUGCUGGCGGAGGACAGCAGCACCAGCAGUAGUGCCCGCUUGGCCCCCUGCAGACAGCUCAACUCUUCCCCGGCUCUCCCUGGAACAACAGCCCUCUGCGGCCUGGCAUGGAGGACCCCGCCGGACAGCCUGGUGCUACGAGGCCUCCGGGGUAGAUCAGAUAUUAACCGGAUAAUCAACGGCUGAUAAUCAACAUUUGGCAGGAACCGGCCAUUAGGAAUGAAACCAGAGUGUCAAGGGGUGCAGCCUCGUGCAUAUGAGCUGAACCGUCUGUAAAAGGGUACGGAGUUCAAGCAUUACAAUAUAAUAACUGCAACAGAUUCAAAAGCGUGUGGUGAUUGAAACUGCAAACAACCACUUGUUGAAUAAAAGUCUGCAUUUCAUGAUGUUUGCCCGAUGAUUUGUGUUUCACACACGCCGUGCGCCGCCGGCGCACAGAUCGUGCGCCGUCCGCGCACAGAUCGUGCGCCAUCCGCGCACAGAUCGUGCACACACAGACACAGGUUUUUGCAGAGGAUGAGUUCCUAUUUCACAUGCUUUACCUGCUACAAUGCUUGGGACUUAUCAGCGUUCUCCUGUUAUUCUCCUGGUUGCCUCACCUCAGGCCAGCCAUUGCAUUUACUGUUACAAGAGACAGGUCAAGCACUUCAACUUGUGAAGACUCCAGCUUAGAAGGCUCAGCACCCCCCCACACACACACAAAGACCACUCCCCCGUGGCCUGACUCUUAAUUAUAAGUGGUUAUCGCAGCCAUCAGUAAAAGGAGGAACCGGGACAUGGCACUGGCUCACUGCUAAUUGGCUGCUGGGUUUCAGAUGGGGCCGUGUCUUCAGGGCUUGCGUCCGGAACCCUGUGACCACUCGAAACUCGAUCCAGCAUCAAGAUGCAGAGACGGCUGUCAGAACCUCAUCCCUUCACACACACACACACACACACACACACACACACACACACACACACACACACACACACACACACACACACACACACAC
ensembl:lncRNA